rnacentral:rRNA from 1 species
UACGGGGGGGGCAAGCGUUGUUCGGAAUUACUGGGCGUAAAGGGUUCGUAGGUGGCCAACUAAGUCAGACGUGAAAUCCCUCAGCUCAACUGGGGAACUGCGUCUGAGACUGGAUGGCUCGAGUGCAGGAGAGGAACGCGGAAUUCCAGGUGUAGCGGUGAAAUGCGUAGAUAUCUGGAGGAACACCGGUGGCGAAGGCGGCGUUCUGGACUGCAACUGACACUGAGGAACGAAAGCCAGGGGAGCAAACGGGAUUAGAUACCCCCGUAGUCC